CCCCCUGCGAGCGUGGCACGGAGGGUUAGAGCGAGACCAGGGGCUCCCUCCCAGACACCGCGCUCCCACGUCGGGGCGUGUGGCUAUCAUCCACUAACUUUCUUCCCAGUCUGAUAGAUGCAGGAGUGCGGGAGAGUGCAUGAAUGGCCCAUCUUCAGACCCUGAAGGCCAGUGCUGAGCACAGUGGAAGAUGGCUUAUACUGCAGAGGAAGCCUGCAGGCUGCGGACAGAUGCAAGCAGCUGUGGCUGGGAUCUGUGAAGCAUUUCUGAAUGCCUGGGGGAGAGAGGACCAUGCAGCAUCCUUGCACCCAGAGGUCUGAGGCACAUACAUUCAGCCCGGUUUCCCUUCCUGUCCUAAGAAGGGAGUUCAAGGCCAGCCUGGAAUAAAUGAGACCCAAGAAGGAGGAAAAGGAAAGAAGGAG